GGGAGGAUGGCCGAGUGGUUUAAGGCGGCAGAUUUAAGCUCUGCUUUCCGUUGGAAGCGUGGGUUCGAACCCCACUCCUCUCA
rnacentral:tRNA from 1 species